AUCCCAUUAGCCAAGUUGGAUCAAGGCAACGGGCUUCUAUCCCGUUAAUCGUGGGUUCGAGUCCUACAUGGGAUG
rfam:Bacillus phage BCP78, complete genome.